GGGUCUACCCAUUGGUCAGGCUUAAUUGUCUGCACUGGUGAGAUGGAUCUCUACCUUCUGAGGAACUUUCAUGCCAUUUAUUUGGUGUGAUGGGAAAUCAGGACUGUUACUUUGAAAAAAUUAGAGUGUUUAAAACAGGCAUUUUUGCUUGAAUACAUUAGCAUGGAAUAAUGAAAUAGGACGGACUGAUUUUAUUUCGUUGGUUUCUAGGAUCACCGUA
rnacentral:rRNA from 1 species